UUUAAGAAAGCAAGCAUCUCCCACCCUUUAUCACAAGCAUCAUGUGACUUGUGUUUACCUCACAUCCCAACAAAGUGAUGAAACAACUUGGAGAGCUUAGAGGGUGUUUCAGUGUAUGAAACUAUGUUUAAAAGACUAGUUGUGAUAUUGUUUUUUUCUAUGUUGGCCUCUGUCCUGUAUCAUUACCAACAGGUAAGCUGAGGAGAGGAAGGGGCUAAAGAAGAUGGAGAGAAGUGAAUACAAGAACAGACACUGAGAAAACAGAGGAUACAUCUGGAAUGAACAGAAAGCCUUGGGCAUUGAGAUGCCAUGAGAAUAAGAGAGCCAAUUAGAAGGAACUUGGCGCUGUGGCUGGAAGUUUCCUCUGUGUUCUCUCUCAUCCAUUACCCACUUAGAGCGGC